AGAGUUUGAUCAUGGCUCAGAUUGAACGCUGGCGGCAGGCCUAACACAUGCAAGUCGAACGGUAACAGGAAGCAGCUUGCUGCUUUGCUGACGAGUGGCGGACGGGUGAGUAAUGUCUGGGAAACUGCCUGAUGGAGGGGGAUAACUACUGGAAACGGUAGCUAAUACCGCAUAACGUCGCAAGACCAAAGAGGGGGACCUUCGGGCCUCUUGCCAUCGGAUGUGCCCAGAUGGGAUUAGCUAGUAGGUGGGGUAACGGCUCACCUAGGCGACGAUCCCUAGCUGGUCUGAGAGGAUGACCAGCCACACUGGAACUGAGACACGGUCCAGACUCCUACGGGAGGCAGCAGUGGGGAAUAUUGCACAAUGGGCGCAAGCCUGAUGCAGCCAUGCCGCGUGUAUGAAGAAGGCCUUCGGGUUGUAAAGUACUUUCAGCGGGGAGGAAGGGAGUAAAGUUAAUACCUUUGCUCAUUGACGUUACCCGCAGAAGAAGCACCGGCCAACUCCGUGCCAGCAGCCGCGGUAAUACGGAGGGUGCAAGCGUUAAUCGGAAUUACUGGGCGUAAAGCGCACGCAGGCGGUUUGUUAAGUCAGAUGUGAAAUCCCCGGGCUCAACCUGGGAACUGCAUCUGAUACUGGCAAGCUUGAGUCUCGUAGAGGGGGGUAGAAUUCCAGGUGUAGCGGUGAAAUGCGUAGAGAUCUGGAGGAAUACCGGUGGCGAAGGCGGCCCCCUGGACGAAGACUGACGCUCAGGUGCGAAAGCGUGGGGAGCAAACAGGAUUAGAUACCCUGGUAGUCCACGCCGUAAACGAUGUCGACUUGGAGGUUGUGCCCUUGAGGCGUGGCUUCCGGAGCUAACGCGUUAAGUCGACCGCCUGGGGAGUACGGCCGCAAGGUUAAAACUCAAAUGAAUUGACGGGGGCCCGCACAAGCGGUGGAGCAUGUGGUUUAAUUCGAUGCAACGCGAAGAACCUUACCUGGUCUUGACAUCCACGGAAGUUUUCAGAGAUGAGAAUGUGCCUUCGGGAACCGUGAGACAGGUGCUGCAUGGCUGUCGUCAGCUCGUGUUGUGAAAUGUUGGGUUAAGUCCCGCAACGAGCGCAACCCUUAUCCUUUGUUGCCAGCGGUCCGGCCGGGAACUCAAAGGAGACUGCCAGUGAUAAACUGGAGGAAGGUGGGGAUGACGUCAAGUCAUCAUGGCCCUUACGACCAGGGCUACACACGUGCUACAAUGGCGCAUACAAAGAGAAGCGACCUCGCGAGAGCAAGCGGACCUCAUAAAGUGCGUCGUAGUCCGGAUUGGAGUCUGCAACUCGACUCCAUGAAGUCGGAAUCGCUAGUAAUCGUGGAUCAGAAUGCCACGGUGAAUACGUUCCCGGGCCUUGUACACAUCGCCCGUCACACCAUGGGAGUGGGUUGCAAAAGAAGUAGGUAGCUUAACCUUCGGGAGGGCGCUUACCACUUUGUGAUUCAUGACUGGGGUGAAGUCGUAACAAGGU
rnacentral:rRNA from 1 species